CCCUGUAGUCUACAGACUACCCUGAACAAGACUGAUCUCAUCUAAUCUAGGAAACUAAGCAGGGUCGGGCCUGAUAAGUACUUGGAUGGGAGACCACCUAAGACGACUAGAUGCUAUAGGCA
ensembl:rRNA 5S_rRNA 5S ribosomal RNA